rnacentral:lncRNA from 1 species
CCCAUAGAGCCUAGUCUGGCAUAUUAUGCCAGAAAGUUCCCCCUCGGUAGUUAUUAUUUAAGAUAGAAUUAAACAGCAAAAACACCACAGGGACUUGAACCCUGUCCCAGUUGCCCGGGAGUGCCAACCACCAGUGACUUUUGCUUUUUUUUUUUUUUUGAAUGGGGAGAUGAAGGCCAUAUUUAAUUUAUUUCAUUUUAUGCAGGUCAAAAGCAAAACCUGAGGAAACUGGGACACCAAGAUCAAUGUAGUAAAGUCUGCAUUUAAGACUGAACCACCUUGAGAACCACUGUCUAAACUAGGUAGGUCAUGGUAGAGAUAUUUUCUCCAAACACUGGACUUUGAUAGGUUUAACAUCCAUCCGAUUGACUUCUACGUAAAUAUUACUCAGGUUGUACUCCAUACCAAUGGCUGGGCUAAAAUGGAAGGGAAAAAAAAAGGUAGGAGUUAAACCAGGAAAGUGUAGUAGCAUCCUUUGUUACUAGCCACAAAAGGCUGUUCGUUUUGUUGAAUUAAAAGAUGCCUAUAAUUGGCUUUGAAAAUCUUGCCCAAGACAACUUUAUUUUCCUUAGGCAUGCCUCUGAAAACCAGGUAUGACCAAAAUAUUGUAUUUUUUUUUUUUAAUUAGUUUUUUUUAUUUAUAGUUGGACAUUUUUCCAUCUGAUGUUAAAGGUAGCGAAUAGAGGAAAAAAAAAGAUCUCAUAGGUUCCCCUAGAUCAGGCUUCUCAAAACCCCGGCCCUCCAGAUGUUGCUUAACUACAACUCCAAUGAUUCUCAGCCUCUUUCAUUCAUAGAAUCAUGGAAGUUGUAGUUAAGCAACAUCUGGAGGGCCGGAGUUUGGGGAAGCCUUCCCUAGAUGCACAUAUGCAAGAGGAACUGAGGAGCGUACAACGGUCAUAGGGCUUCCUCGGUCAUUCUUACAGUUUAAAUAACUUUUUUCUUUGCUGAACACAUGCUAAUGAGGAAAAUGUUCUAAUAUAUUUAUUGAUACGCGGGUCCCAGUUUCAGCUCAGGAAAACAAAAACCUAUAUUAGUUUGGCAAAAUUUUUCUUCCCCAGUAAAUAGUUCAAUAUAAGUUAGUGGAAAAUCGACAUAUUUAAGAGAUCUGCAGCAAUUUAUUUUUCUAUUUUAAUCUGGUCUCUUAUUUUACUAGAUUUUUUUGUAGGAUAUAAAAACUUAUUUGCCCUUUUAGACUGUUGUCUGUCACUUUCUGAUUUUCCCUACAGUGUGUAUGAAUUAAAGAGAAGGGGUUGCUUAUACAUUUUGAUGUCAAUAUGGAAUUUAUUUAUUUUUAAAAACACCUUUUUAAUUUGGCAUGUUUCUAUUACUGAAACGUACUGAAAAUUUAAGGUAGGUUAACCAACAUUAAUUGACACUGAAAUAGUCACAUACAAUCGAAGCCAGCUAAGGAGUGUGGGAUGUGGAAAGGGCUAAAAAUUAAACAGCUUUAACUUUAUUUGGGGGUGGGGGUGCAAUAAAUCUCAAAAUCUAGGAAAACAUUAGAAAUGCAACAUUUGUAUUUCUGAUGCACCUUUAGAGAGACUAUUAUCAAUUCAUAGCCCUUUUUUUGUAAAUCCAUUCACCAGUGCCAGUGUUAAUUUUAUAGCGCAAGUGCGAUUUUUUUGUUUCUUUUUAGAAAGGAGGGUUUUUAAAAGAGUGUGUGUGUGUGUAUGUGGGCAGUAGGUGUGUGAAGGGCAAUGUGCAGUAUGUGUGAGGGGGCAGUGUGUGUGUGAGAGGGGUGCAGUGUGUAGUGUGUGUGAAGGGUUCAUAGGGUCUAAGCUGUGUGUAGGUGGGUGAGAUGUAAAAAUCUAUAUUAAUGUCUCCCCCCUGCCUUCUUACCUUUUACAAGGGAGGGGCAUAUAAUGCUGCAAGCCCUGGUUGUCCAGUGGUGGCAUGUUUACUUUUGCCUGCAGGCUGACUUUGCUGUACUCCUGCGAGCACAGCACUGUAUCGGAGCACUUCCAAAGUAACGCAUGGUAACACUCUGACCAGCCUGUUCACAGGAGGAACACAGUCUCCCAAGCCCUUAACUCCCUCUGCUGCAACGAAGUUCCAGUGGCCAGUGAGGGAGAUCUUUGAUCUCCUCACCAGCCUGAGAGGGCUUACAGCAAGGAUGGCUCUGCAUGGGCCAGCAGGUGAGAUGAAAUUAUCUCCUGAGCCGUUUUUGGUCCACGGCCAUCAAGGCCCACCAGGCAUUUUUUGCAGAACCCACCACCACCCACCUAAAAUCCCAAACCGCCCACCAGGUUGACUACUUUGGUCUAGUAGUUCUACACAGAUUUAGGUGUAUACAUCCUUCAAGUAGAUAUGCUUAACCUUGUUUUUGAAGAACUAACUUCCAUUAUUCCACUCAACUGUAGUUAUGUAUUUUUUUUCCAGUUGUCUGCAGUUUUUGGGGGGGUUUUUGAGGCAGUUGUAACAACUUUUGACCAUUCAUGUGGGAAUGUAUGUAAACCCUGUUUAAUCUCUUUUCAGUAGUUUUAUAUUUUAACAUUGUAUAAACUGCAAUAAUUAAGAAUUCAUGGCUUUGAAUUUUUGUAUUUGCCUUUAUCAUUUUUAUUUACAUGUUUAAACCACAUUCACAUUCUGGGGGUAGCUGCCAAACCUGAAACGUUAUCCAGAUUUUUUUUUAGAAUUGUAAAUAAAUAAAAAAAUACCAUAUUGCACUCAUGUAAAUUAAUUUGGACAGUAUCAGAUUUAAAUAAAUACAUAAAAACACUUGAGGAAAAAAUUUGGAAUCGUAAAUGUUCGAUACAGAGAAUCACGCCAUUUAUAGGAGAGGGAAAGAUAAGCAACUGGAAGGCACAGCUGCAACCUUAGGAGAGUCCGCAAGUAAAUAAAGACUCUUUGUGCGUUGGGAAAGUAAAGCACUUUUACAUAUCAGUUAGGCAGACCGAGGACGUGGCUAUUUACACUGUGGUAACAGAACCUUUAAAAAAAUAAAAAAUAGAAUUUAACACAUCAGACUAGAGCAUCAAUCUAUUAAAUUUAGGCUUUGGUAAGUCACUCUACACAAUACAUACACAAUACAACAGUUAUUAGACAGAGUGAAUGUUUGAGUGUUAUGAAUGUGUUGUAACACCAACUCCAACUCUGCCCAAUUAAAAUAUUUCAGAACCAAGUUACAGACAAUCAGUAGUUUUCUCGCUUUGCUCUUUGCAAAGAAUAGUUUUGGGUUUUUUUAAGAAGCAGUUGUAAGUAGUUUUAAAUAGUUGUCCAUUCAUAUGGGAACAUAGGUAAAGCCGGUUUAAAAAUAAAACUCCUUGAAUUAGAUAAUUUUAGCUUUGUAUGAGCUGUGAUUUUUUUUAAUUUUAGAAGCAAUAUUAUAAUUAUAGUUUAUCAUUAAACAUGGUAAACUAGACUGUAGCUUUGAAAGUUUGUAUUUGAUUUAUUUACAUGUGAACUACAUUCUGCAGUAGCUGCCAAACAUUAAAGAAAUGUCAUAACACAAAUAUAAGACUAGUUUUCACAAUAUAUAUUUGAUCAUUCACAUUUAGCCUUAUAUUCUGCCCUAUUGAAAAUGUCAAAUAUACAUUUGUAAUGAUUAAAGGGUUUAGAUGUUGUAUGUAGCAUGCACUUUUACUUUAAUUAUUUAAGUCUCUUCAUUACAUGUCUGAUUAUUAAUCAAUGUGCAUCUUAUUUUAAUAACACAAUCGCUAUUCUGGUUGCAAAUUUUAACAUACAUGUUUCCUAUUUGAAAUAAUGGCAGUUUUGUCGUCAGUCUCAAAAAUUUUCAAUUGGAAACAUAUGAUCAGGGUCAUUCACUAAGGUGUUAAUUGUUGGAAAUUUCACAUAAAACCCAAAUUAUAGGCAAAAACGGUUACAUAAAACCACACAAUUGGAAAAAAAGUAUAAGUCAGUUAUUUUUUCAGUUUAGCAAUAUUAGAAUUACAUUUCACAUUUGCAAUUUAAAAUAAACCAGAUCUUUUUAGAAUUGUAAAAAAAAAAAAAUAAUUUCAUUUGAAUUAAUUUGUACAGUACUUGAUAAUUUGUUUUUAAAUGUAUUUUUUUGAAGCACUUUGAGGGAGAAAAUAAACUGGAAUUAUAAAUGAUUAAUGCAGAGAAUCACGCCUUCAUGCCAUUUAGGGGAGAGGGAAAGUUAAGCAACUGGAAGGCACAGCUGCAACCUUGGGAGAGUCUGCAAGUAAAGUGACAGAACAGAGGAUACUUUGAGCAUUGGGAAAGUAAACCACGUUUACAUAAUUAGGAAGUGGCUAUUUACAUGGAAACAAAU